rnacentral:tRNA from 1 species
UGCCAGAUAGUGUAACAGGUCAACACGCCUGACUCUGGAUCAGGAGACUCCAGGUUCGAGUCCUGGUCUGGCAGCAA